AUUGAACGCUGGCGGCAGGCCUAACACAUGCAAGUCGAGCGGCAGCGGGAAAGUAGCUUGCUACUUUUGCCGGCGAGCGGCGGACGGGUGAGUAAUGCCUGGGAAAUUGCCCAGUCGAGGGGGAUAACAGUUGGAAACGACUGCUAAUACCGCAUACGCCCUACGGGGGAAAGCAGGGGACCUUCGGGCCUUGAGCGAUUGGAGAUGCCAGGGUGGGAUUAGCUAGUUGGGGAGGUAAUGGCUCACCAAGGCGACGAUCCCUAGCUGGUCUGAGAGGAUGAUCAGCCACACUGGAACUGAGACACGGUCCAGACUCCUACGGGAGGCAGCAGUGGGGAAUAUUGCACAAUGGGGGAAACCCUGAUGCAGCCAUGCCGCGUGUGUGAAGAAGGCCUUCGGGUUGUAAAGCACUUUCAGCGAGGAGGAAAGGUUGAUGCCUAAUACGUAUCAACUGUGACGUUACUCGCAGAAGAAGCACCGGCUAACUCCGUGCCAGCCGCCGCGGUAAGAC
rnacentral:rRNA from 1 species